rnacentral:rRNA from 1 species
ACCGGGGCGACAGCAAUAUGAAGGUCAGGCUGAAGACCUUACCCGAUUAGCUGAGAGGUGGUGCAUGGCCGUCGUCAGUUCGUACUGUGAAGCAUCCUGUUAAGUCAGGCAACGAGCGAGACCCACGUCCACAGUUGCCAGCAUACCCUCCGGGGUGAUGGGUACACUGUGGAGACCGCCGCUGCUAAGGCGGAGGAAGGAGUGGGCAACGGUAGGUCAGUAUGCCCCGAAUCUCCCGGGCUACACGCGGGCUACAAUGGUUGGUACAAUGGGCAUCUACCCCGAAAGGGGAAGGAAAUCUCUUAAAGCCAAUCGUAGUUCGGAUUGAGGGCUGCAACUCGCCCUCAUGAAGCUGGAAUCCGUAGUAAUCGCGUUUCAACAGAACGCGGUGAAUACGUCCCUGCUCCUU